rnacentral:rRNA from 1 species
CGAUUGAACGCUGGCGGCAUGCCUUACACAUGCAAGUCGAACGGCAGCAACGGGAGCAAUCCUGGUGGCGAGUGGCGAACGGGUGAGUAAUAUAUCGGAACGUGCCCAGUAGUGGGGGAUAGCCCGGCGAAAGCCGGAUUAAUACCGCAUACGACCUGUGGGUGAAAGCGGGGGAUCGCAAGACCUCGCGCUAUUGGAGCGGCCGAUAUCAGAUUAGCUUGUUGGUGGGGUAAAAGCCCACCAAGGCGACGAUCUGUAGCUGGUCUGAGAGGACGACCAGCCACACUGGGACUGAGACACGGCCCAGACUCCUACGGGAGGCAGCAGUGGGGAAUUUUGGACAAUGGGCGCAAGCCUGAUCCAGCCAUGCCGCGUGUGGGAAGAAGGCCUUCGGGUUGUAAACCACUUUUGUCAGGGAAGAAACGGUUUGACUUAAUACGUUGAACUAAUGACGGUACCUGAAGAAUAAGCACCGGCUAACUACGUG